GGCAUGUGCUUUGAUGUCUUCACAGUGUGGCUUUGCGUGGCCUGCAAGGCCAUAGUGCGGAGAGAAUGGCCCAGCUUCCUUUGCCCAGGACUGAUGGCACCUGAAACAGUGAGGCUCGAGUGAAGUUCCUUGGUGUUGGUGACCUGCAGGAGAAGGCCUGAGGCCCAAGUGUGGCUUUGCGUGGCCUGCAAGGCCAUAGUGCGGAGAGAAUGGCCCAGCUUCCUUUGCCCAGGACUGAUGGCACCUGAAACAGUGAGGCUCGAGUGAAGUUCCUUGGUGUUGGUGACCUGCAGGAGAAGGCCUGAGGCCCAAGUGUGGCUUUGCGUGGCCUGCAAGGCCAUAGUGCGGAGAGAAUGGCCCAGCUUCCUUUGCCCAGGACUGAUGGCACCUGAAACAGUGAGGCUCGAGUGAAGUUCCUUGGUGUUGGUGACCUGCAGGAGAAGGCCUGAGGCCCAAGUGUGGCUUUGCGUGGCCUGCAAGGCCAUAGUGCGGAGAGAAUGGCCCAGCUUCCUUUGCCCAGGACUGAUGGCACCUGAAACAGUGAGGCUCGAGUGAAGUUCCUUGGUGUUGGUGACCUGCAGGAGAAGGCCUGAGGCCCAAGUGUGGCUUUGCGUGGCCUGCAAGGCCAUAGUGCGGAGAGAAUGGCCCAGCUUCCUUUGCCCAGGACUGAUGGCACCUGAAACAGUGAGGCUCGAGUGAAGUUCCUUGGUGUUGGUGACCUGCAGGAGAAGGCCUGAGGCCCAAGUGUGGCUUUGCGUGGCCUGCAAGGCCAUAGUGCGGAGAGAAUGGCCCAGCUUCCUUUGCCCAGGACUGAUGGCACCUGAAACAGUGAGGCUCGAGUGAAGUUCCUUGGUGUUGGUGACCUGCAGGAGAAGGCCUGAGGCCCAAG